GGAUUGUGGCUUAGUGGUAGAGUGCUUGCCUAACAUAUGUGAGGCACUGGGUUCAAUUCUCAGCACCA
rnacentral:tRNA from 1 species